rnacentral:tRNA from 1 species
GCCGUUCGGGCGGGGCGUCGCCGGGGCGUCGUCGGCCCCGGUCCGGGGUGCCGGAACCCCCGGCUCCGAGCCGGGGGGCCGCGCC